rnacentral:rRNA from 1 species
UACGUAGGUGGCAAGCGUUACUCGGAAUCACUAGGCGUAAAGCGCAGGUAGGCGGUUUGAUAAGUCUGUUGUGAAAGCUCCCGGCUUAACUGGGAGAGGUCAACGGAAACUAUCAGGCUAGAGUGUGGUAGAGGUAGCUGGAAUUCCCGGUGUAGCGGUGAAAUGCGUAGAGAUCGGGAGGAACACCUGUGGCGAAGGCGGCCGACUGGGCCGACCCUGACGCUGAGGCGCGAAGGCGUGGGGAGCGAACGGG